GCUCCUGACAACAAAGAACACACUGCAUGAAGACAAACAGGCUGGUGCAGGUGAAAUAAGAGAUGGGUUUGCUAUUGCUUACUAUUUCAACAACUUCUCUAUCAUCAGAGCCUUUAUUAAAGAACACUGUUAUCAUUGUGGUCUUGCAAACAAGUACACAUCAGCAUGAGUACAAAGUGUUUUAGAAGUUGAUCAGUUUAAGAACAGCAGGUAAUGAAAAGGAUUCUUAUGGAUCUAUUUAUUUUUCUACUUUUGUUAGCCAUCAUUACUACACCCUGAUAUAUAUCUAUAUAUAUCCUGAAUAAAAGCAUACUGUAUUUAUAAAGUGUGCUUUUAGGAUUAAGAAUGGCAAUCCUUUCUGAUUCUGCUCGGUUUGUAAGAGAAGUCAGAUCAUCUCAAAAUCCAAGGAACAGCAGCACUAGGAGAAAUUCACCUCUGACAUGCCAACAGUCCCCUGCUGUUCCCAGGGCACCAGUAUCCUAGGCACUAACUGCUAAGGGAUUCAAUUAGUGGCACCCCUCGUGCCAACACUGCUCUGCUGCCAGGAAUGAUGCCCACGUCUGGCAUGUAAAGCACCUGGAACGCUUGCAGGCUCCAAGAAUCAGGCUGGCUUUUCUUAUACUACAGUGAUAUUACUAGCUACUCAGAUAGAAAGAACCUAAGACACAAAGGGUCUAAGGAAAGAACUGAUCUUUCAAUCUAGAGCACACUAUGCAGUAUGCUUUUCAUAAGCAAGACAAUAAUUAACAGACAUUGACACGCAGUGUUCACUGGUGCUUCAACUACUGCCCUUUGAAACAAGAUGUUCACACCUCAGAGCUGGUUUUGGAGCCGUCUACUGAUGGUGACACAUCAUUACACCAGUUAUGCUCGACCCGUUGCUAAUCUUUGCUCCAUUGCAGUCACAACAACCAGACCUUUUGAAUUAAAGCUAACAUUUCAACAAGCACUGUGUGCCAUUUCAUUCCAUAAGAGUGCUUUGCACCAAUAUCUAGAUCUAGCUUUUACACUUCAUUUUCCUACUAAUCUGUAGUCUAGGAAUGUUUAAAAAUGAAAAUCAAGUUAGGUGAACUUUUUUUUUCCCCUCUGUAUUCUUAUAAAGAAAUAUCUGAAUUUGUCAAAAAAGAUCAAAUCCCCUCCAGUUCUUCGUUGGCAAGAUUUAUUUCCCACCCCCCCCUUCAAUCACAGUCACACAUUUAUUCCAAUACAAUUCAUUAUAUAUUUAAAUGGUCUUAUUUUAGCCAUAUGAAUUUGUAACUUUAUGACUGAAUGAAAAAGCACAAGUGUCUUAAUUCCCAGGAUUGCUCGAAGACUAUUUCAAUACCACAGCCUGAAUUAGAUUAACACAUCUCUGCUUUGGAGAACUGUGCUUUGAUGGUUUGCUUAAAUUUGAGAUUUCCUGAGUUUAGCUCCCGGAAAACAGAUAUAAUUUUGUUCUCUUUCCUAUUGUAAAACUGGAUUCAGAGCUAUGGAGUUUCUGGAUAUAAUCUUCCCAUGUAACCUGCAUCU